rnacentral:rRNA from 1 species
ACGCUCGACACCUACGGGAGGCAGCAGUGGGGAAUAUUGCACAAUGGGGGAAACCCUGAUGCAGCGACGCCGCGUGAGCGAAGAAGUAUUUCGGUAUGUAAAGCUCUAUCAGCAGGGAAGAAAAUGACGGUACCUGACUAAGAAGCCCCGGCUAACUACGUGUCAGCAGCCGCGGUAAUCUGAGCGGGCUGGCAAGGC